rnacentral:rRNA from 1 species
UGAUGUAUAGAGACUGACGCCUGACCAAUGCCGGAACGUUAACGGCUAAGGUGGAUGUUGGAUUUAUCCAGUGUCUGCUAAGGCCCGAAGCGCCGGUGAAUGUCGGCCGUAACUAUGAAACAAAACCGUUGUAGUUACGCAAAUAAAUCUUGCUAUAUGCUGGAAUAGCUGUGUAUCUUGAGCUACUUAUUCUGGAGUCCCGACUUUAGUCGGAGACAGAUAAGUAACAAUGCUUCACAAGUGCAGCCAAUCAGCAGGAAAGACAGAUUCUGACGUUCGAACAUCUGAAAUCAGAAAUCUGAAUCCCCAGAGACUACACGCAAGACUCUUAAAAGUCAUUAGAAUGCCGACAGAUUUUUAAGAGAUGAUAUAGUCCGAUCUUAUAGGCGACUAUAAGCUAACAUAGACCGAACGGUCCUAAGGUAGCGAAAUUCCUUGGCAGGUAACUUCUGUCCCGCACGAAAGGCGUAACGACUGGGGAGCUGUCUCAACGAGGAGCCCGGUGAACAUGCAAUACCGGUAAAGAUGCCGGUUACCUGCGGCAAGACGAAAAGACCCCGGGAGCUUUACUGUAUCCUGAUAUUGAACUAAGUUUUAAGAUGCGUAGCAUAGAGAGGAGACUUUGAGAUUCUAUUCUCGGAUAGGGCGGAGUCGCCAGUGAAAUACUCUUCUUUUUGAAGCUUUGUUCUAACCCCGCACUUUCCGUUCUUUAUAAAUCUUGAUAGAAUAUAAAACUAUGUAUUACGUGUAUUUUCUUAAAAAUACUCGGACAAAAAGGAUUUAUAUUAGUUAUACUAAUGAUCUAAAAAGGCGAUUCGCACAACACUCGUCAAGAGACAAAUGUUGGAUUCUUGUAUUUUAUGAAGCUUAUCGCAACGAGGAAGACGCAAGAGAAAGAGAAAAAAAGUUGAAGAAUUAUGGAAAUGCUUUAGGUCAUUUGAAAAAUCGCAUCAAGAGAAGUACCAUGUUGUAAAGAACGGAAAGUGCGGGAGACAGUUUCAGGUGGGCAGUUUGAGUGGGGCGCUCGCCUCCUAAAAAGUAACGGAGGCGUUUAUAAGGUCGGCUAGGUACGGAUGGAAAUCGUACCGAUAGGGCAAAGCCACAAGCCGGCUUUACUGCAAGACAGACAUGUCGCGCAGUUACGAAAGUAGAACUUAGUGAACCGACCCUAAUCGUUGACUUCUGAUUGGCAGUUUACUGCUGGUUAGUUGUCAGCGCGCUUAUAGGCGCGGGGAAGAUCAUCGGAUAAAAGCUACCCCGGGGAUAACAGGCUAGUAGUGCCCGCGAGUCCAUAUCUACGGCACUGUUCGGCACCUCGAUGUCGGCUCAUCUCAUCCUGGGACUGGAGAAAACAUAACUUCUCUCCUUUAUAGAAAUAUAAAGGUAAUAAACAAGCCCAAAAUGGGGAAAGCCAUUGUUAAGCAACUUGACAUAUUUUGACGUAUUCGCAGGUUCCAGGUAUAAUUGCUUAAUAAAGGUCAAUCCCAUGAGAAAAAUACUUUCUAAAAUUGAUCGAGCAUAUUUGGCGGGUCUGAUUGAUGGCGAUGGCGCUAUUAUGGCAUGCAUUGAAAAGCACAAUGAAAAGAAAUUUGGCUUUAGAGUACGCGUUGCCAUAAAAAUCAGCCAAAAUAAUAAUGCCAUACUAAAGUGGUCCAAACGCACAAUAGGGUUCGGCCACAUCAGACACAACCGCACUCAAUACGAAUGGUAUAGCUUAGAUCAGUUAGCAAUAGAAAAAUUCCUUAAAUUAAUAGUUAUCUACUUAAAGAUUAAACAAAAACAGGCUAAAUUAGCUAUUAAAAUUAUCGCAACAAAAAUUUUAACUGUUUCUAAUUUGAUCAAAAUUGCUAAAAUGGCUGAUCAAUUAUCGAAAUUUAACGUUCGUUCAGCAGGAAGACGUAAAAAUUUUGCUCGAAUGAUAGAGGAAAGUGUUUCUCCUAACGACUAAUUCUGUAAAUUACAGAUGCGAUUAAGGGUUUAAACUUUAAUCAUACGGCUUGCAUCUAAGUUUUGAUUUUUCAAAAUAUGAUGAAGGUAUAGUCUAGCAUAUUGGUAACAAUAUGAUUCACGAGGCCCCAAGGGUUUGGCUGUUCGCCAAUUAAAGAGAUACGCGAGCUGGGUUCAAACCGUCGUGAGACAGGUUGGUCUCUAUCUGCCGCAGGCGUUGAUACUUGAGGGAAGUCCCUGAUAGUACGAGAGGACCUCAGGGAAGAAACCUCUGGUCUACCAGUUGUCGUGCCAACGGCACUGCUGGGUAGCUAUGUUUCGUUGUGAUAAGCGCUGAAAGCAUCUAAGCGCGAAGCCAUACCCAAGAUAAGGUAUCAUUUAAGAUCGGUCAGAGAUUAUGACCUUGAUAGGGCGUAGGUGUAAGGUCAGCAAUGAUUUUAGCCGAGCGCUACUAAUUGAUCAAAUUUUUUCUU